rfam:Micromonospora coxensis strain DSM 45161 genome assembly, chromosome: I
CGGUGGCCGCCGCCUAAACGCCCGCCAGGGCGUGCCGGGGAACCAGGUACGUGGGGUGCAUCCGCGCCAGCGGUAGGGAUCUUCCGUCCCGAACCCGUCAGCUAACCCGGUCGGCGGCUGACGGAAGGAUUG